rnacentral:rRNA from 1 species
AGAGUUUGAUCAUGGCUCAGGAUGAACGCUAGCGGCGUGGAUAAGGCAUGCAAGUCGAACGCCCCGGUUUACCGGGGAGUGGCAAACGGGUGAGUAAUACGUUGGUUACCUACCUUGAAGUUUGGGAUAACAUCGAGAAAUUGAUGCUAAUACCAAAUAGUCCCGCAAGGGUAAAGAUUUAUCGCUUCAAGAAGGGCCGACGCACUAUCAGCUAGUUGGUGAGGUAAUGGCUCACCAAGGCUAUGACGGUUAGGAGGCUCGAGAGGGUAUUCUCCCACAUUGGCACUGAGACACUGGCCAAACUCCUACGGGAGGCUGCAGUCGAGAAUCUUCGUCAAUGCACGCAAGUGUGAACGAGCGACGCCGCGUGAGCGAUGAAGCCCUUCGGGGUGUAAAGCUCUUUUAUUAGGGAUAAACUUUGAUAGUACCUAGUGAAUAAGAGGUUGCUAACUCUGUGCCAGCAGCAGCGGUAAUACAGAGACCUCAAGCGUUAUCCGGAAUUAUUGGGCGUAAAGCGUCUGUAGGUUGGAUAAAU